rnacentral:misc_RNA from 1 species
CCUAAGAGAUACGUGUUAUGUGCAGUGCUCACACAGAUUGUCUGAUGUAGAACGAGCAAAAGCGCAUCUGCGAAGCUGACAAAAGUCCCCUUCGUCUAGAGGCCUAGGACACCGCCCUUUCACGGCGGUAACAGGGGUUCGAAUCCCCUAGGGGACGCCAAUGCGCGGUAUGAGUGAAAGGCGUACCACUUAUCUGACGAGAGUCAGAGAAUAACUAAGCUAAUUCAAAUGAGUUAUCUUACUUAUUAUGCUCUUUAACAAUCUGGAACAAGCUGAAAAAUUGAAAACAAAUCAAUAUAUCACCGAGGUAUAUUGGUGAGUCUCUCAAAAUCUCAAACCUUAAAGUUUGUCACGCAAAGUUUAUCUUUGAAAAAGACACUUUCGGGUUGCGA